AUUGAACGCUGGCGGAAUGCUUUACACAUGCAAGUCGAACGGCAGCACGGACUUCGGUCUGGUGGCGAGUGGCGAACGGGUGAGUAAUAUAUCGGAACGUGCCCAGUCGUGGGGGAUAACGUAGUGAAAAUUACGCUAAUACCGCAUACGAUCUAUGGAUGAAAGCGGGGGACCUUUGGGCCUCGCGCGAUUGGAGCGGCCGAUAUCAGAUUAGGUAGUUGGUGGGGUAAAGGCUCACCAAGCCAACGAUCUGUAGCUGGUCUGAGAGGACGACCAGCCACACUGGGACUGAGACACGGCCCAGACUCCUACGGGAGGCAGCAGUGGGGAAUUUUGGACAAUGGACGCGAGUCUGAUCCAGCCAUUCCGCGUGCAGGACGAAGGCCUUCGGGUUGUAAACUGCUUUUGUACAGAACGAAAAGGUUUCUACUAAUACUAGGAGCUCAUGACGGUACUGUAAGAAUAAGCACCGGCUAACUACGUGCCAGCAGCCGCAGUAA
rnacentral:rRNA from 1 species